CGAGUCCUCAACUGACGCUAAUGCUCGAAAGUGCGGGUAUCGAACAGGAUUAGAUACCCUGGUAGUCCGCACGGUAAACGAUGGAUGCCCGCUGUUGGCGAUACAAUGUCAGCGGCCAAGCGAAAGCGUUAAGCAUCCCACCUGGGGAGUACGCCGGCAACGGUGAAACUCAAAGGAAUUGACGGGGGCCCGCACAAGCGGAGGAACAUGUGGUUUAAUUCGAUGAUACGCGAGGAACCUUACCCGGGCUUGAACUGCAGCAGAACGAUAGAGAGAUCUUGAGGCCCUUCGGGGCUGCUGUGGAGGUGCUGCAUGGUUGUCGUCAGCUCGUGCCGUGAGGUGUCGGCUUAAGUGCCAUAACGAGCGCAACCCCUUUCAUCAGUUGCCAUCAGGUGAUGCUGGGCACUCUGGUGAUACUGCCACCGUAAGGUGUGAGGAAGGUGGGGAUGACGUCAAAUCAGCACGGCCCUUACGUCCGGGGCUACACACGUGUUACAAUGGGUGGUACAGAGAGUCAACCGCCGGCAACGUCGGUUUAAUCAAUAAAGCCAUCCUCAGUUCGGAUUGGGGUCUGCAACCCGACCCCAUGAAGCUGGAUUC
rnacentral:rRNA from 1 species